rnacentral:rRNA from 1 species
GACGAACGCUGGCGGCGUGCUUAACACAUGCAAGUCGAGCGGUAAGGCCCUUUCGGGGGUACGACGAGCGGCGAACGGGUGAGUAACACGUGGGUGACCUGCCCUCAGCUCUGGGAUAAGCCUGGGAAACCGGGUCUAAUACUGGAUAUGACUCCAUGACGCAUGUUGUGGGGUGGAAAGCCUUGUGCGGCUGAGGAUGGGCCCGCGGCCUAUCAGCUUGUUGGUGGGGUGAUGGCCUACCAAGGCGACGACGGGUAGCCGGCCUGAGAGGGCGACCGGCCACACUGGGACUGAGACACGGCCCAGACUCCUACGGGAGGCAGCAGUGGGGAAUCUUGCGCAAUGGGCGAAAGCCUGACGCAGCGACGCCGCGUGAGGGAUGACGGCCUGG